rnacentral:rRNA from 1 species
GAUGAACGCUGGCGGCGCGCCUAACACAUGCAAGUCGAACGAUUAAAGCACCUUCGGGUGUGUAUAAAGUGGCGAACGGCUGAGUAACACGUGGGCAACCUGCCCCUUUCAUUGGGAUAGCCACGGGAAAUCGUGGAUAAUACCGAAUACUUCGAGACUUCCGCAUGGAAGACUCGAGAAAGCUCCGGCGGAGAGGGAUGGGCCCGCGGCCUGUUAGCUUGUUGGUGGGGUAACGGCCUACCAAGGCAAUGAUGGGUAGCUGGGUUGAGAGACCGACCAGCCAGAUGGGGACUGAGACACGGCCCAGACCCCUACGGGGGGCAAGAGGGGGGAAUUUUGCACAAGGGGGGAAAGCCUGAUGCAGGGACGCCGCGGGGGGGAUGAAGGCCUUCGGGUCGUAAACCGUUUUCAGAAGGGACGAGGCGAAAGGAGCGGUACCUGCAAAAGAAGCCCCGGUUAACUACGU